ACUUUUCCAACUCGGAUCCCGAAGGUCAGUUUCAUCCCAAAGAGGACAGCUUUCCACUUUACCGCCAAUCAAGUUCUUCUUAGAGAAGGAGGCAAAGACAGCUGUCCUCGAUGCUGGGUAUCAGAAGACAUUGAGAGAUCUAGUGGUUUCUUGACUCAUGGACAUUUUCUGGUGGCCCAUGUCCCAGAACCAGAGCCUACGAGGAAGAUCAGGUGUUGCUCUUUAUACAAAGUGCAGAAAUAAACCCAUGCUUUUAUGGUGAAUUAAUCUAUAACAAAUGAGGUGAGACUAUGCGACUGGGAAAAGACAGUCUCUUCAACAAAUACUGUGGGAAAACAAGACGACUACAUGCAAAAGAAUGAAAUCGGACCACUUUCUUACACCAUACACAAAAAUGAAGUCAAAAUG
rnacentral:lncRNA from 1 species